rnacentral:lncRNA from 1 species
ACCUGGAUUUUUUUAGACGUGUUCUUAUAUAUCUCCUGAUCUCUUCGCAGAUGAAUUUUUAUCCUCAAAAGAAAACCUGUCUGUUAUGCCUUUCCAUUCCCGGUUAUUGUGGAUUCCAUUUUUGUAAAUGUGUUACUGUUUUAAGUUGUUUUCGAAGUGCUUUUUUGAGUGUUCUUGACUUCUGGAUAAAAUGUUAAACUGAUUAACUCAUUAAUUACUUUUCAGUUCUUUAAGUGCUUAUGAAAAGAGCUUUUUAAUUAAGCUAUUUUUAUCCCUGCAGGUUACAAAUUGAAGUGAUUUGAUGGGAAAUGGUUGCGUGAAGCUUCACAGAAACAAGUUUGAGGCGUAUCAGCUCCAAGGAAGGUCCAAUGGUCCCUGGCUUUGUCUCUUGGGGCAGUGGUUCUUGUCAAUUGCAACAGCUUUUAUUAAAUUAGGAUGUAAUCAAUUAAGUAUUUAGGUUAAGUGUAUAUUUGGACUAUUUGUAACCUAUUGUACUCAGAAUCCGUUUAUGUAAUUACUUUUUAGCAUUCAAACCUUAUUUCCAUAUUUUAAUUAUGCUUAU